ACGGGAGGCAGCAGUGGGGAAUAUUGGGCGAUGGGCGAAAGCCUGACCCAGCAACGCCGCGUGAGGGAAGAAGGGUUUCGGCUCGUAAACCUCUGUCCUAUGGGACGAAGGAAGUGACGGUACCAUAGGAGGAAGCCCCGGCUAACUACGUGCCAGCAGCCGCGGUAAUACGUAGGGGGCAAGCGUUAUCCGGAUUUACUGGGUGUAAAGGGAGCGUAGACGGUUUUGCAAGUCUGAAGUGAAAUCCCGGGGCUCAACCCCGGAACUGCUUUGGAAACUGUUUAGCUAGAGUGCAGGAGAGGUAAGCGGAAUUCCUAGUGUAGCGGUGAAAUGCGUAGAUAUUAGGAGGAACACCAGUGGCGAAGGCGGCUUACUGGACUGUAACUGACGUUGAGGCUCGAAAGCGUGGGGAGCAAACAGGAUUAGAUACCCUGGUA
rnacentral:rRNA from 1 species